UAGGGAAUCUUGCCACAAUGGACGAAAGUCUGAUGGAGCAACGCCGCGUGAGUGAUGAAGGGUUUCGGCUCGUAAAACUCUGUUGUUGGAGAAGAACAGGUGUGAGAGUAACUGUUCACAUCUUGACGGUAUCCAACCAGAAAGCCACGGCUAACUACGUGCCAGCAGCCGCGGUAAUACGUAGGUGGCAAGCGUUGUCCGGAUUUAUUGGGCGUAAAGCGAGCGCAGGCGGUUUCUUAGGUCUGAUGUGAAAGCCUUCGGCUUAACCGGAG
rnacentral:rRNA from 1 species